GACGAACCGGACGAACGUUAUUCGGAAUUACUGGGCUUAAAGAGUACGUAGGCGGCUUGGUAGGUUGGGUGUGAAAUCCCACAGCUCAACUGUGGAACUGCGCUCAAAACCACCAGGCUUGAGGGAAGUAGAGGUAAGCGGAACUGAUGGUGGAGCGGUGAAAUGCGUUGAUAUCAUCAGGAACACCGGUGGCGAAGGCGGCUUACUGGGCUUCUUCUGACGCUGAGGUACGAAAGCUCGGGUAGCGAACGGG
rnacentral:misc_RNA from 1 species